rnacentral:rRNA from 1 species
UGGGGAAUAUUGGACAAUGGGGGAAACCCUGAUCCAGCCAUGCCGCGUGAGUGAUGAAGGCCUUCGGGUUGUAAAACUCUUUCGACCACGACGAUAAUGACGGUACCCCGAGAAGAAGCUCCGGCUAACUUCGUGCCAGCAGCCGCGGUAAUACGAAGGGGGCUAGCGUUGUUCGGAAUUACUGGGCGUAAAGCGCGCGCAGGCGGCCUUUCAAGUCAGGGGUGAAAGCCCGGAGCUCAACUCCGGAAUUGCCUUUGAAACUGUCAGGCUCGAGUACGGGAGAGGUGAGUGGAAUUCCCAGUGUAGAGGUGAAAUUCGUAGAUAUUGGGAAGAACACCGGUGGCGAAGGCGGCUCACUGGCCCGUUUCUGACGCUCAGGCGCGACAGCGUGGGGAUCAAACAGGAUUAGAUACCCCCGUAGUCC